CUCUGGCGUGAAUUCGGGUACGUCUCAGCUUUGUUUGAGUCUCCAGGUUCCAGUCGAAAACAUGGGCUCUGGAAGCUCCUGUGAAUACUCACAAGAGAUUUAUGACAGCUGUGCUCUCAAUAUUUAUGAAAGAGCCUUACGGGAAACAUGUAUCAUUCCAGAUGUGGGCCUAGACCGGUCUCUGCUGAAGUAUUCUGGUUUGAACUCCAACGCUGAGCUGCAGACCUACUCCGAUGGUCUGGUCAAUCAGAUUCCAGAAUACGUUGAGAAGUUGGGAUCUAGUUUGAGUUCGUGUACUUUAUUCCCAAAUGCUGUUGGACUCGGAGCAUUGAUGAUUUCCAUGAUCAUAGAUAUUUCCAUGAAGAGCCACGUUGCAACUUCUGAUGAUUCAUACAGCAAGUUCCUGCAGGCAUUUGGUGAAGAGAAGGCCUCAGGAGUCCGGGACACUGUGUCGGAGUAUGUGAAGCGCCAUCGGAUGUACCUGACUGAUAACCGACACCUACAGGGUGAACUAGAGAGACUGGAGAUACAGCUGAGCAACCAUCUCACCAUCCUCAGAAACUCCCUGCUGCUUGACGGACAGAUGAGGAGCCGUGGGUUGAAGAUCUGGGUGAACGGAGCCUCCUUCCACGUCCAGAUGUUGAUCCAUCAGGCUCGACUGAAUCACACGACUGGCAUCAGUUCGAAGGGCUAUGUUCAUGUCAUCCAAGCUGCCCUCACUACGUAUCUACAGGACCUGGAUCAGCUGCUGGAGAAACACAGGAAGGACUUCGCCGGUCAUACUGCUGUCGGUCAUGAAAUGAAUUGCGAGACAGCUGAGCAACCAUCUCACCAUCCUCAGAAACUCCCUGCUGCUUGACGGACAGAUGAGGAGCCGUGGGUUGAAGAUCUGGGUGAACGGAGCCUCCUUCCACGUCCAGAUGUUGAUCCAUGAGGCUCGACUGAAUCAGAAGACUGGCAUCAGUUCGAAGGACUAUGUUCAUGUCAUCCAAGCUGCCCUCACUACGUAUCUACAGGACCUGGAUCAGCUGCUGGAGAAACACAGGAAGGACUUCGCCGGUCAUACUGCUGUCGGUCAUGAAAUGAAUUGCGGUGGUGACAAUAGUUGUCUUUCUGGACCGAUGUCCGUAUGUUCUUUACAAAACCUUAACCUUACGUGUUUACUUCAACUACAACCAGCUGGAAAAGACCUCUGCAUCAGCACUUCUAAUUAUCAAGUGUACGGCUCUGGUGGAACUUUAGACCACAACACUAAACAAUUGUCAGAUUCUUUUAUUAAUCAUAUUUUCUCAAAACAUCCACCACUCGCAGGUUUAAAGAGCCAUUUUUCAAACAUCAAGAACAAUCUAAACUAUUACAUCAACCAACAUGAUGAAUUCACUCUGCCAUCAGCCCGUUAAGUUGUUGUGAGGUUUUAAAGUUAAUAAUUAACAGCAGCGCAUGUUGUCAGUGUUUUGUAUCUAAAAUCAUGUGAUAUUUUUAACACACAAUGAACGCAGAAAGACAUUUGAUUUAAUGUUUUCUUUUAAUUCUUAAGCCAAACCAGCAUGUUUCAUAUUGUUCAGCAUCAUUUCUCUUCAUUUUCAUGUAUUAAAUACAAAGUGCAUUCAACCCUUUGUGGACGUGUUUAACAGGAUAAAUGUUUUUCCAUUUACAGAUGAGGCGUUAUGCGUCAAAUUCUUACUAUGUGUUCAACAUAAAUGAAGUGAAUCCAGUGACUGGAUGGUGCGUCACUCAGCUGGAAGUAGUACAGAUACUCACAGUCACUCGGCGCUGUGAGGAGGGAGCUUCUUGUGAAGUGAACUCCAUCAGCGUGCUGCCACCAUGUGGUUCACAUAUUCACUUACACCACCCAGCGCCCCACACUGAAUAUCUGUAAUCUGUGACCAUGAGAUGAUUCAGCCUGAAGCAUGUCCAGGACUUCCAGAGGGACGCAGGACAUGUGGUGCUCAGGUCCAUUUAUUGGUUGUCACGUCCUCUGAGCCACUAGAGGUGUGUUCAUCUGGGAACACAUUCACUGUAAAACACCACAGACAAGACGAAGCACCAGACAAACAGAGACAGAGGGACGGACGGGGGACAGGUGGACAUUGCGAGUCACAUGUUGGGACAUUCUCUGUCACGAGUCCUGCAAUUCCUUUGCAAGAUGCAGCUUCGUAUGUAUGAUCAGGGCUCCAGACUAACUCUUCUCACUGGGAGCACAGUGGCCCCUAACUUAACAUUUAGGGGCGCACGCUAUAAAUCGACUCGUCCCACCAUUUUUACUGUAUUACUGAUAAAUAAGUUUAUAA
ensembl:lncRNA